rnacentral:rRNA from 1 species
AUUGAACGCUGGCGGCAUGCUUUACACAUGCAAGUCGAACGGUAACAGGCCGCAAGGUGCUGACGAGUGGCGAACGGGUGAGUAAUGCAUCGGAACGUGCCCAGCCGUGGGGGAUAACGCAGCGAAAGCUGCGCUAAUACCGCAUACGAUCUAUGGAUGAAAGCGGGGGACCGUAAGGCCUCGCCCGAUUGGAGCGGCCGAUGUCAGAUUAGGUAGUGGGUGGGGUAAAGGCCCACCAAGCCAACGAUCUGUAGCGGGUCUGAGAGGACGACCAGCCACACUGGGACUGAGACCCGGCCCAGACUCCUACGGGAGGCAGCAGUGGGGAAUUUUGGACAAUGGGCGCAAGCCUGAUCCAGCAAUGCCGCGUGCAGGAAGAAGGCCUUCGGGUUGUAAACUGCUUUUGUACGGAACGAAACGGUCCUGGUUAAUACCUGGGGCUAAUGACGGUACCGUAAGAAUAAGCACCGGCUAACUACGUGCCAGCCGCCGCGGUAAGAC